UUUAGAGCAUUCAGAAGACUCAAUAGGGUAUUGAUUAUAUUCUUUUGGUUGUGGAUCGAAUUGGCAAGGAGCAUUGCAAAGUUAAUUAACUUGAUUAUUAAUAGCAAGAGACAAAAAAGAAGAUUUUAUUAAGAGAACAACAUCAAAUUCAAAUUCAAUGGAGAUGGAUAAAAGUUGGAUCCAUCUUAACAGGUUGGUGGUAAAGCGACACCAAGCGAAGGACAGUCUCGCAAUGUACCGCAGUCAAACAAUAUUCAGUCCUCUAAGGUAAAUUAUCAAAG